CUUUCCUUUCCUUUUUAGUGGUUAUUGUUUUCUCUUUUAGAAAAACGAUAAUAACUAUAACUAAUAUUUUACGAUGUAUUUAAUAUGUAAAAAAUUACAAUUUAUUAUAUUUUUAUAUAAUUUUUAAUAUAUAUUGAUCACGUCAACGGUCAACGAAUCAAAGGCAGCAACAUAAAAAUAAAAAGUUUACAUGCCGACAACUACCAAACAUUGUUUCUCUUUGAUUUUUGAAGUUGCUAGAUGUUUCUUUCUUAAAAAAUAAAUAAAUAAUAAUUAUAUAAUAAACAUUCAAUUCAAAAAUAACAUCCUCCUCCACCUAAUGUUUAAUAUUUUAUAAAGUUUAUUAAAUUAAUUUGAAUUUAUAUCGCGUAAAGUAAUUUGCGAAAAACACUUUUUAAUAUAAUUUUAUAUAUAUAUAUUAAAUUCAAAUUUGAACUUCUAAAAAUAAGAAAAUUCUAUUUAUUCAAUUACAAUUUUUAUUGGUAAAUCACGAAGGUAAGGUGGUUGGCAAGGUAUAUAAUUGAACUUCUUGCCAAAUUAGUUUUUUUGUUAUGUAUAAAUGACAGAAUUUACCUUCUACAAUCAACUAUGAGAGCGAUCCGACCUCUAGCCCUUCAAUGAUGGAUUUGUCUUCAAAAACCCCGACCUCAGUCGAAAAGCCUGUUUUCUUUGAUCCAAGCCUGGUGAAAAAAAAGCAUAAGAUUUUACGUCAAAAUUUCAAAACAUAUAUGUGACAUUUUUAAUAUUAAUUGGAAUCCUUAAAUAUUUAAGAGAACCCAUGAAAUUGGUGGAAUCCUGAUCAUUAAAAAAAUUACUCCAUAGUAUAUGCUUCGAUUACUGUAAACUCCAUUAAUGGAGGUUGAGCUUUUAGCUCAUUUGCAGAGAAGAAGAGAGAAGAGAAGUAUUGUAUUGAUUUAGAAACUGAAAAACUAAUUCAUUGAAUCUGUACAGCUUUUGGUUUAUGUACAAGUUUAUUACUCAUAGAGUACAAAAUAUCUUCUAACAACUUGUAACUAACUAAUGCCACCUAAGCAUCUAGUAGACUAACUAACUUUAGUAGUUGGAUAAUCCUAACCAUACAGCUUGUUAACUCUUCACCAUAGUUAACACUCCCCCUCAAGCUUAUGGUUGGAAAACAUUUUUCAUUCCAAGUUUGCUCAAUAGCAGUUCAUGUUGUGCCUUCCCCAAACUCUUAGCAAGUAAGUCAGCUAGUUGAAGUUUAGUGUUUAUAUACUCUGUCUUCAACAUUCCUUGACAGAUCUUCUCCCUCACAAAGUGACAAUCAAUGUCUAUGUGCUUUGUUCUCUCAUGAAAGAUGGGAUUAGCAGCAAUUUGUAUUGCUGCCUUGCUAUCACAUAUCAUGUUUACAGGAAGAUUCACAUUAACUCCAAGCUCUUUGUACAAGCCUAUAAUCCAUGUAACCUCAGCUGCACAGGUAGCCAUACUUCUGAAUUCUGCCUCUGCUGAGCUCCUUGAUACAGUCCCUUGUUUCUUGGACUUCCAUGAAAUCAAGCCCCCUCCAAACUUUACUAGAUAUUCUGUUACAGAUUUUCUAGUCUCCAGACAUGCUCCCCAAUCAGAAUCACAGUAUGCUGUGAGUUGUGUAGUUGGUUCAGCUGGCAUCAAAAGUCCUAGACCUGGAGCUUCCUUGAUGUACCUUACAACCCUCAGUGCUGCAUUCAUAUGUGACUCCUUAGGACAGUGCAUGAACUGACUUAACACUUGUGCAGCAAAGGCAAGAUCUGGCCUUGUCAUGGUUAGGUAGAGUAGUCUACCCACCAAUCUUUGAUACUUUGUAGGAUCUGAGAGCAAGUUGUCAUGUUCAGGAUUUGUGGUUGGAACCUGUUCAUCAUAAUGAAGGGAUGUGCGACUCUUGUUCAAUUCCAAUGGUGUGUGUGCAGGCUUGGCACCACCUAGUCCAGACUCAGAAACAAGUUCUAAAGCAUACUUCCUUUGUGUCAUUAAUAUCCCUUUGUUGGACCUAGAGAACUCAAUUCCCAGGAAGAAUUUCAGUUCCCCCAGAUCUUUCAUUUUAAACUUCUUCUGAAUAUCUUGUCUAGUGUUGCAUAUAAGUUGAUGAUUGCUUCCAGUGACUAGAAUAUCAUCCAUAUACACUAACACUACCACAAUUUCACUACCAAAUUGCCUUGUGAACAGUGAAUAGUCAUAGUGACUUUGGUUGAAUCCCAUCUGUACCAGUGCCUCAGUCAACUUCACAUUCCAUUGUCUAGGUGCCUGCUUUAGUCCAUACAAAGACUUGUGCAGUUUGCAGAUUUUAUGAGACUCCCCCUGUCGUGCAAACCCAUUAGGAAUUUCCAUAUAAACAUCUUCAAGCAAAUCACCAUUUAAGAAGGCAUUAUAGACAUCCAUCUGAUAAAUGUACCAGCCCUUAGAUGCAGCAAGAGCUACCACAGACCUCACUGUUACCAUCUUUGCAACUGGACUGAAAGUUUCCCCAUAGUCAAAACCUUCUUUCUGACUGAACCCUUUUGCAACUAACCUGGCCUUUAGUCUUUCAACUUGGCCUGAUGCUAAGAACUUGAUUUUAUAUAUCCACUUACAGCCAAUGAAAGAGGAUUGCCCAAGCCUUAUAAGGAGUCCACCCAACUCCAUUAAUAGAGGUUGAGCUUUUAGCUCAUUUGCAGAGAAGAAGAGAGAAGAGAAGUAUUGUAUUGAUUUAGAAACUGAAAAACUAAUUCAUUGAAUCUGUACAGCUUUUGGUUUAUGUACAAGUCUGUUACUCAGAGAGUACAAAAUAUCUUCUAACAACUUGUAACUAACUAAUGCCACCUAAGCAUCUAGUAGACUAACUAACUUUAGUAGUUGGAUAAUCCUAACCAUACAGCUUGUUAACUCUUCACCAUAGUUAACAAUUACAUAUAAAUGGUAGUAAUUUUUUAUAUUAAAAGAUUCGUUUAGUAUUACAACAAAAUGAGUCAAAAGAUUAUUUUACAUCAAAAGUUCAAAUCAUAAGUAUGAUAUUUUUAGUAUUCUUUAAUAUCUAAUAAUUCUAGUAUCUUAUUUAUUCUUUUAACUUAUUUUCCAUUUUAGUUAUUCAAUCUAUAAUUCAUGCAUUUUUUAUAUUAUUUUGAAUUCUUUAAUAUCUAAUAAUUCUAGUAUAUAUCUUAUUUAUUCUUUUAACUUAUUUUCCUUUUUAGUCAAUUAACUCUACAAAUUCAUACAAGAGUAUAUUCCUCAUUUUGUAUCCAAAUAAUUUUUUUAAUAAGAAACCACGUCAUAAUAACAUCAGCAUGAAAUCAUCAAAUAAAAAAAAUUAAGUAGGCCCCACUUGAAACUUCUAUUCAACACACGAAAAUAAUAUGUAAUAUAUUUCGUCAUCAAUAUUCAAUGAAUAUGAAUCCUCAAGACGAAAUUGCCUAUAAAUAGCCGCAUUAGCACAAUCAAUAGAAAACACAACAAACAAAAAAUAAAUUUAGUUGAAACAAACAUUAAAAACAUCAAAAUGUCUAUGUCCUCUAGACCAAGAUUGGUUGUUAAGAAAGUUUUGGCUAGAGCUCAAAAUGAAGGUGAUGGUGCUAUUGUUAGAAGAAGCAUUGGAAGGUAAUUAUUUUUCUACACUUUUUUCCUUUUUCUUGAUUUUUUUUGUUGUUGUUAUGAUAAUCGAGAAAUCUCUGACAACCAUAGACAUGUAGUAUAGAAGUAUUCGUGAAUAAUAAUCGAGUUGUUUUUACUCUUUUCCAAUUAAAUAUCAUACUUUUGUCAGCAAUACGAAUCGAAUACUGAUUGUUUUUUUUUUAUAUUUGUUAUGAAUUUUGGAAUUUGAUCAGGCCUGAAUUGCAGAAUCUUGAUCCAUUCCUCAUGUUAGAUGAGUUUAAUGGUAAUUUUUUCUUUUAUUUUAUUCUUUUAGUAUAUUAUUUUGUGAAUUUUAUUUUGAUUUUGACUAAUUAGAAAGCUAUGUUAUUUUUGGCUUCUUGCAGUUUCACCACCUGCUGGAUUUCCUGACCAUCCACACAGAGGUUUUGAGACUGUCACUUACAUGUUGCAGGUAAAAAUUCAUUUUAUUUUCCUUUUUUUGUGGAAAGUUUAAUUUUUGUACACUGACAAAAAAGAUUGAUAUAUACUAUCAGGUGUCGGCAAUGUAUAUAAGUUAAACUCUGUGUUGGUGUAUGGAUUAUGGAGAUUGGAAAUUCUAAUGUUAUUUUGUGGUGUUUAAUUUUAGGGAGCUUUUACUCAUCAAGAUUUUGCUGGUCACAAGGGCACAAUCAGGACUGGUGAUGUGCAGGUAAUAAGUUUGCUCACAACACCACCAUAUUAAGUAUUUAAGUUACGUACACUGACAAUGUAAAGAUUCUUAAUAGUAAAAUCAGUGUUAUAUAACAUGUGAUAGAUUGUUAGCUACUAAUUUUACUAAUGUAACCAAUUAACAUUUACCAUCAAAAUUUGUGAUGGUAGAAUAGUAAGUUUUCCUUCGUCCUUAAUUAGAGGUCUCGAGUUCAACUCUCGUGAAUGUAGUCACAUUUGAAAAGGAGUGUGUACUGGAUAUCGAAUUUAUGAAAUUUAAGUGUGUUUAUGAUUUUCCAUUUGGUUUAAUGCAGUGGAUGACAGCAGGAAGAGGUAUAGUUCAUUCAGAAAUGCCUGUUGGACCAGGUACUCAUAAGGGGUUGCAACUUUGGAUAAAUCUAUCUUCCAAGAACAAAAUGUAAGUUACAUUGAUUCAAUCUUGACUUUGGCUUAAAUACAUUUAGUGUUUCAACAAUCUAGUAUUUCAUUUUAACAUAUUCCUGUAAAACAUGUACUUUGAUCAAAAUUCAUUAGACUUUUGCAGAAAUUUAGGCGUUUAAGAUCUAAUAUAUAUGUAUAAAAAGUAUGGUUUGACCUAUAUGUAUAUGCGUCAGACAAAGAGUGUUCAACUAACCAGCCUUCACUGUGUGUGGUUAUGCCAUGAUUUAGACACAACAACUCAUGAUCCUUAUCUUGUUACUUGUUGUCUACUUCACGAGCCUUCAUUGCCCCGUUUUUGUAACUUCCCUCCUUUUGUCCGUCCAUGAUACAGGAUUGAGCCAAGGUAUCAAGAAUUGCUACACCAAGACAUACCAAAAGUGGAAAAAGAUGGCGUUUCGGUUACUAUUUUAGCAGGGGAAUCCAUGGGCAUAAAAUCCCAAGUUUUCACACGAACGCCUACAAUGUACCUUGAUUUCACCCUAAAACCAGGUUCUGAGCAUCACCAACGGAUCCCUGAGACCUGGAAUGCCUUCAUCUACAUAGUUGAAGGAGAAGGGGCGUUUGGUUCUUCGGAUUCAACUACUACACCAGCUCACCAUUGCUUGGUUUUAGGCCCUGGUGAAGGCCUAAGUGUGUGGAACAAAUCUUCAAAACCAUUGAGAUUUGUUCUGAUAGGAGGGCAACCGAUUAACGAGCCUGUCGUGCAGUAUGGUCCAUUUGUUAUGAACACUAAGAGUGAGAUUAUGCAGGCUUAUCAAGAUUAUCAACUUGGAAAGAAUGGAUUUGAAAGGUCAAGGCAAUGGUGUUCUAAAUGAGUAAACAGAGUUACAUCUUAUAUGCUUCAUCAAAAUUAGCCUAUAAACUAGUACAAUAUUCAUUAGUUUUCUUAUAAAUGUUAUGAUUUCAAGUUGUUUUAGUCUUUGUUUUCAUUUGAAAUGUGAUGUGUGUUGAGUGAAGUUUAUUAUUAGUAUUCAUUUCCUUCAUUUGUUCAAGAUUGUAUUGGUUGUAAUUUAUGUUGACUUCUUGAAUUAUAAUAUCUUGUCUCUUUAGUUUGGAUCAACAUAAGUUCUCUUAAUAGUCCUUUUUUUUUCCUUUCAACAAAUGUAGUGUGUUGGAUGAAGUGGUAUUUAAAUCCUUUAUUUCUUCAAGAUUGAUGGUAAUUCUUGUAGCCAUAGUGAAAAAAUAUAUUCACUUCUUGAACAAUAUCUUAUUUUUUUGUUUGGAUCAUUCAUUGAAAAUGUAAUGACAAUAUUAUCAUAUUAUAGGGAGUGGAUGUCCAUGAAAAACAUGGUCCAAUGUGAUUUUUUACAAUUAUUUCUCAAUUAUUGGGUCAAUGUGGUCCUCCAUGAGUUUUAACCAUAACCACUCAAGAACUAAUUUCAUGCACUUUAUAUUAACUUGAAAUUUUUUAUAAAGAGAAAUUGAUGUUCAAAUUCACAUAAGAAUUAAACAAUUUACCGUUUAAAUAUCCAAGAAAAGCAGGAUGGUGUGUACUUUUACCAUUAGUCUUGCAAAAAUAUUCUGCUUAAGACAAUAGAACAAAUUGACUAUUAUUAUUCCAUUUAUAAUCUUUAUAAAAUCAUCCUAGAAAAGGAAAAUUAAUAAAAUCCAGCAACACCACUUCUUAACAAAAUUAUCUGUACCUAUCUUUGCCAGCUUUGCCAUCACUUCUUGUACAACACCCCACCCCCACCCCACUGGCUAUUCGAAGUUAAGUCUUUCUCACAUCAUAUGGAGUCUUUUUCUAUGCAUAUGUGAGAAACUUUUAUUGUUCCCCCUAAAAAAAGAAAUAGCCAAUACUAACAAUUUUGGUCUCUCAAUUAUUGAUAUAUUCGAAUUUUAAUUUUUGAGAGUGAUAAUAUAUAAUUUAACUUGUAAUUACUUGAAACAUGCCAUUUUUUAUUAUACUAAGCUUGUGGUGUAACUUUGCUAACGUUUAGCCAUAAAUUGAAAGAAAAAAAAAAGAACUUUUGAAGUUAUGUUGAAAAAUAGUACUAUUUGAAAUGUAAAGAUAUGUUUAGAUAUGUAUUUUGUAAAUAAAAGUGAAUACUCCUAAAAUUUAUAGUCAAAACGAAAUUUUUUUAAUUUGUGAGUACAUAAUGUACUUCUAAAAAUAGCUCAAAUUUAACAUAUUUCUUACCUAAAAAACUAUAAACACAUAAUUUAAUAUAUUGAAUAAUUUAAAUAUGUUAAAUCAUAUAUAUCACAAGGAUUACAUCAAUAAAAAGAAGGAAAAAGGCAAAAGGUUAUCAUAAAAAGUUAAAUUUUUUUUAAUAAAAAAAACUAUUAGACUCCAAGUCUCCAACCGCCUGUUUUCUUUUCAAACAAAGGUUAUAAUAUAUAAUUAUUAUAUAUUCCUUUUUAUUUACCCAAAAAAAGAACACCCACUUAUGAUUUUAUUUUAUUAAAAAAAAACAAUAAAAAACAAAAUAACAAAAAAAUAAAAAUCCAGCAAGACCACUUCUUUCAAAUUCUCUGUAUAAUCUUUGCCAGCUCUGCCACCAUUACUUCUUUGCACAAAACCCCAACACCCCAUUCCCCCUCUCUCUCUAGAUCACCAUUUUCCAAUUCUUUCUCUCUCUAAACCUCAAAAAGUUUCAAUUUUUCACCAAAUGGACUCUUCAGAUGAUGAGGGUGAGGAGUAUCUUUUCAAGAUUGUAAUCAUUGGUGAUUCUGCAGUAGGUAAAUCUAAUUUGCUUACACGUUAUGCAAGAAAUGAGUUUAAUUUGCAUUCAAAAGCAACUAUUGGAGUUGAGUUUCAGACCCAAACUCUUGAAAUUGAUGGAAAAGAAGUUAAAGCUCAGAUUUGGGAUACUGCUGGACAAGAAAGGUUUAGAGCUGUGACUUCUGCUUAUUAUCGUGGUGCUUUUGGUGCUCUUGUUGUUUAUGAUAUUUCAAGAAGGACAACUUUUGAUAGCAUCCCUCGUUGGCUUGAUGAACUCAAAAGUAUGUAUCUUUUUUGCUAAAAGUUCCAUUUUUAAUAAGUUGGUUUUGGUUUAUGUUGAAUUCUUAUUUGUGCAUUGAAAGUUCUCACCUUUUUUGGUGGAUUGGCUCAAGCUUAGUCUUUUGAGAUUUGAUGAUGUUAUGAUGGAAUGGUAAUUCUUAGAUUUGAAUUCUACGUUCUUGUUUAUGUUGCUAAAAAAAAUUCUUUUGUUUAGCUUGGUUUUGGUUUAUGUUGAAUUCCCAUCCAAGUUUUAUGCAUUGUCUUUGGUUUGUGUAUAGAAAAUUCUCACCUUUUUGGUGGAUUGGCUGUAAAGUUUAGUUUUUUUUAGAUUUGAUGGUGUUAGGAUAGAAUGGUGAUUCUUUGAUUUGACUUCUACAUUCCUGUUUAUGUUGCUAGUAGUCUUUUCUUUGUUUAGCUUGGUUUAUGUUGAAUUCCCAUCAAAGUUUUAUGCAUAUCUUUUGCUUUGUGCAAGAAAAAGUUUUCACCUUUUUGAAAUAUAGUGAGGUUUUGGUGGAUUGGCUAUAAAGUUUAGUUCUUGAGAUUUUGAUUGUGCUAUGAUAUAAUGGUAAUUCUUAGAUUUGGCAUCUGUUGCUAAAAUUCUUCUCUUUUUCCAGACUUGGUUUUGGUUUAUGUUGAAUUGUCAUCUAAGCUUUAUGCAUUAUCUUUUCUUUGUGCACAGAAAGUUCUCACCUUUUUGGUGGAUUGGCUGUAAAGUCUAGUUUUUUGAGAAUUGACAGUGUUAUGAUAGAAUGGUAGUUCUUUAGAUUUGACUUCUACAUUAUUCAUUUUGUUUAUAAUUAGUUAUUGGAUAAAUUGACAAGUGAGUCGAGAUCUGAUUGUUGUAUUCGUAUGUCUCUGUUGCUACAAAAAAUUUUAAACUUGGUUUUGGUUCAUGUUGAAUUCCCACUUUUCAACUUGGUUUUGGCAUAUGUUGAGUUCCCAUCAAAGUUUUAUACACAUCUUUUCUUUUUUUCAUAUAAGGUUCUCACCUUUUUGAGAUAUAUUGAGGUUGGUAGUAUAAAGUUCAGUUUUUGAGAUUUGAUGGUGUUAUGAUAUGAUGGCGAUUCUGGGAUUUGACUUCCACAUUCUUGGCUCUUGAUUAUAACUUAUAAGUAUGUAAGAUAUCUUGUAGAUCCGAAAAGUCUUGGCUACUUUAACUAUUUAGGAUGAUGGAAUAAGCCAUAAGGGUAAUUUUAAUCGAGUUUUUCCAGAAUUGAAUAAUGGAUGUGUUGAAUCUUGUCCUUUGCUUUUUUUCUUCUUCUGUGGAUUUGGUUCCUAUCACUUUUCUCUUUGACUGAAUAAAGUAAGAUUUUACAGUUGCUAUCAAGUCUAAUUCAAUCUUUUUAGUGAAAAAUUACUUACCAGGUAUAGAAACAAAUGGUAAUGUCAGCUAGAAAAACGUUGAGUCUUGAUUUUGGAUCAUUGUUAUUUGUUACUUGAAGCAAUGGCAAAGAAAGCGGUAUAUAUGCCAAUGUAGCUGUUAUGCUCAAUUUUGUCUAGAUGCAGUUGGGAACCUUUGAUAAGAACGAAUUAGACAGACUGUCAAUUGGAUGUAUAUUAGGAAUUGGAACUCAAGUCAUGCUUUUCUUUCUCCGAAAUGCCAAUCUAAAUGAACUUGUCAACAGAUCAUACUUAUAUGGAAUCUGUUUGUUUUUUUUUGAUCUGUUUUAUUUGCUUGAUUGUGAAAAUAAUUAGGACCAACAGCCUGGCUUACCUACGUAUGGCAUUAUGGUAGACUAAGGAGUCUCGGGGAUUGAUAAAAAAUCCAGAGAUUCUUUUGAUGUUAAAUGGUGCCAUAUUUAUAACUUAGGUAGUCUCUCUAUUAAGCCCUUAGCUAACUAACUUUUGGCUGGACGGGAGUGUAUAUGUGUUGCUUUGAGCCGUGAGCUGCUAUGUGAUACUUGCACGACCUUAUUUUGUUAUUCAAAUCUGUUCUUGUCUUGCAAAUAUCAUUUGAAUCUUGAAAAUGAAUGACUUUGUGCUCACUGUUUCCAAAAUUGAAAACUUUUAGAACUUAAUGUCCAUAAAAUAGAGGAGUAUUAACUCUUGAUCUAUCAAAAUGAGUGGGCCAGAUACAAGGCCGUUUGCCCAAGUACAAGAUUUUAGCUUGAGCCCUGACAUGGUCCAAGAUCCCUAUCUUUAAGGCCAUUAAAGAACCCAGGGCCAGGGAAAUGCGAUAAAUAGAAUGUUAACAUUUGCAGCAUAUAUAACCACAAAUGAGGUUUGUACUCCACAAGCUUCAUUUAAUCACGGGAUGAAAUGAGCAGAGGAUUAUGCCAUCAAAAUCGAAGUCAGUGUUAAUAAGGUGUAGCAUUUUUCUUCCACAUGUGAAGGAGACAAUGACGUAGCUGAUAACAACUUAAGAAAAUUCAGAUACAUACUUUUGAAGGAAAUAUAGGUAGUAAUAUUAAGUUUUACAGACUCUUUAUAUGUGCAGGGGCUGUACUUAAACUUUGCAUUCACGAGCUUAUUUAUUCACAUUUUGUCUUGGAAUGAUACUUUCUGCUGUCGGGAAUCCCAACUUUUAUUUAUACAGUUAUAUAUUAGGUGUGCAAAUUACAUGUUACGGUGGUGUUCUAUAUGUUCCUCAUACUCCCAAUUGUUCUAUAACUGAAACAACCAUUUACAUGCAGCUCAUUCUGAUACAACGGUUGCAAGGAUGCUCGUGGGAAACAAAUGUGACUUGGAGAACAUAAGAGCUGUGAGCAUAGAAGAAGGCAAAAGCCUGGCAGAAUCAGAAGGGAUGUUCUUCAUGGAGACAUCUGCCCUCGAUUCAACAAACGUAAACAAGGCUUUCGAGAUUGUGAUUCGAGAGAUCUAUAAUAGUGUUAGCAGAAAGGUUUUGAAUUCCGAUUCUUAUAAAGCAGAAUUAUCUGUCAACAGAGUCAACCUGGUCAACGAUGGUACCGAUGGAUCGAAACAAAAGCAGGGCUACUCUUGUUGUUCUAGGUGAUUAAUGUUAUGUUUUCUUGAUUCCCCUCAAGUUUUACAAGAAUGGUUCAUUAAAUUAUUUUUGUUGGUCUUACUGUUUAUUGAUUUGUUAAUGGAUGGAGUACUUUUGUAAUGGUCAGGAACUUGAUAUUUAUAUUCUAUAUGGCAGCUGAAAUGAAUAAUGUUUAUUUUCCCCAAUGCAAAUCUGUAUUCUGUGUUUUGCUUUAUGUACUUGUCAUUCUUGAUUGUUCAAUUGUAAAUACUAUUUCAUAUUCAAUCAGUGUUUUCGAAUUUGAGUAUAUGGAAUCACCAUUGUUAGGAAGCGGUUCGCUCCCAGUAUGACACUGUUCGAUGAUUUAGUCGGACUUUAAUACACAAGUCGUAGUCUCAGCUUUUUUUCUCCUUCGAUAGAGUUGGAUUGGAAGAGUCAGCCUGCGGGGUAAGCCUUUUCAUGUGUGCGCAUUAUUGUUGAUUAGUCUGUUUUUUCUGGAGUUUUUCGUUUUGAGGGGGAAAUGAAAAAAGGUAAAUAAAGACCUUAGCCGAUUCUUGCUUGACUUCUGGGCUCACCCGAGGCGAGGACUCUUUCUUUCUUGCACAACCGCCCCAGGAAAGUAAUUAUCAUUAAGAGGGAGAACUUUGAUAUCUAACUACGUAGGGUGAGUAAUAAAAACAAUUUGUUUGUUUUUUGGGAGAGCUGAUUGUAACAUGCAUUACUGAUGCAAAUUCCAGAAGAACAAGACAGCAUAGUCUGUCAAGGUCAGCUUUUACCAACAAACUGUGCAUAUCAACAUCUUCUAGAAACUGAGCAAACAUCCUUUUCUCACCAAAUUAUGUAAAAUGAUUCCUUUCAUCCUCACCAACACUCUUAGUUCUAGCAACAUUAUGAGAGAUUCCCAUAUUUCAAACUUGUCAAUAAAAAAGUUAUUCCAAACAAGACACUCCCCACCAACACUCUUGCUCUAGAACAUUAUGUGAUAUUUUUUUGUAUUUCAAACUUGCCAAGAAAAACAUUUACUUCAAACAUAAAAUCAAAACUUGUUGUAAUCAAGCAGUAACUAUUCCGAUAAUCUUAAUCAGAGGUCUCAGGUUCAAUCUCAGCAUAUGAAGUCUUAUUCAAUAGUGAAUGCUUCCGGCAUGACUUCGAAUUACUCAAACUCCAAAACAAAUAUCGAACGCCUAGGAAACAAGAAAAGAAAGAGAGAAACCAACUUACAACAAAGGAUCUUACCUCACCACCACCACUAUAUCAAUAUCCAAGAAGAUAUUAUCAUAGAUUCAGAAUCAAUAUUCACUAUAAGAAAAAGAAAUAACAAUCAACUUUUUGAUCAUGACCUAUCAACAUUGAAGGGAGAAUAGCAUUUUUAAUCCUUCAAUAAUUGAUAAAUAAUAUUUUUUAUUCUUGUGAUAUAGAAUGACUCAACAUAUUUAAUCUUCAAUUAAUUAGAAUGUGUGUGUUUUUAUACAAGUUUAACUUAACAUAUGGUUAAUAAGUGUUGAAAUUUUGUGAGUAUUCAUAAGCAAAGUGAUCAAACGUGCACGUUUCAAGUAAUUGUAUGGUAAAUGUCAGUGAGAUAUCACAAGGAAGAAAACUGGAAUUUUUUGAUAAUCAAGGGACCAAAUAUGCUAUUAAACCCCACACUGAAAAUAAGAAUAAAUAACAAUAACCUAAACAAUUUUCAAAUGAUAAAUAAGAUAAAGUUGACCAUUAUUUCUUUACUAGGGAUAUAUUUAUGAAAAGAAAAAAAGAAACAUAAAAAAGGUGCAUUUUGAGGCUAAUAGUCUAUGUUGCUCGUACUCUCCUAAAAUGUUGCCACACCAACGUGGAAUCCUCCAAAAAAUACACUACUUUUGAAGGAUCCAGCACACACACCUAUCUGCAUUUUUAAAGAUUCCGACCAACAUAGCUUGUAUUAUUGUUUCAGCUCCAUUUCUUCAGUGCCCUGACCUCCAGUAUCUAGCAUUCUCAAAACCAUUCUUGCAAUAUUGAUAAUCCUCAAAUGUUUGAUCAAUUUCAUCUUGUGAGUUCAUCACAAAUGGACCAUGUUGAACCACAGGUUCAUUAAGAGGUUGUCCACCUAAAAGAACAAAUCUUAAUGGCUUUGAAGACUUGUUCCAUACACUAAGUCCCUCUCCAGGGCCUAAAACCAAACAAUGGUGAGCUGAUACAGGACCUGAAUUCGGAAUUCCGAAGACUCCUUCUCCUUCAACUAUAUACACAAACGCAUUCCAAGACUCGGGGGUGGCUUGAUGAUAGUAAGCUGUUGGUUGUAGGGUGAAAUCGAGGUACAUUGUAGGCGUUCGUGUGUAAACCGGGGAUUGGACACCCAUCGCUUCACCUGCUAUAACUUUUACUUCAACACCAUUGUUCUCUGCUCUUGGAAUGUCUUCUUUCAGCAGUUCUUGAUACCUUGGCUCAAUCCUGCAGUUGAACUUUGAACUUAAUAAGAAUUGAAAAAGGAAAAGCAAUCCAAUAUCAAACGUGUGUUCGCCACAAAGUCUUCGUUUUGGGCUAUAAACUUGAACAUGGGAAAAUAUUGGUUCAAACUAAAUCUUGAUUUCUAGAAUAUCACAUCAUAAAAUGUCCAAAAUUUUGAGAACUUAGUCAAAAGUGAAUGAUUAAGCUUCGCAAAACACAGCAGAAACAGAGGUGAUUUUUAUACUGCAUAUUAGUACACUCCUAACACCCCCCCUGCCGCACAAAAAAAGUAGAUAAGAGCUAACAUUAUUUUUUUACUACUAUAUGCUAGAGCCAAGUACAAUAAAGUGGUGGUGUGUAAAGUAUCUAUAUGGGGUCAGGUCAAAAGUUGUGUUGCUCGUACUCUCUAAAAAUGUCAACGGGUGCGUGUCAGAUUCUCCAAAUAAUCGUGCAUUUAUGGAGAAUCUGAAACGAGUGUGCCAGCAUUUUCAAAGAGUACGAGCAACAUAGGUCAAAAGGAGUGAUAAGACUGAAAGCUUCUAAUGAUGUAAAUAACUAUAACUUACAUUUUGUCCUUAGAAGAAAGAUUUAUCCAAAGUUGCAACCCCUUUUGACUGCCUUCUCCUGCAGGCAUUUCUGAGUGAAUUAUACCUCUUCCUGCUGUCAUCCACUACAAUAUCAUCCAAAAUAAGAAACAUAUAUCAGCAAACAAAAUAUCUCUUCUGUUCUUGUAAGCUAUGCUGCUCCGAUUCUUCAAAAAUACUGUUGAAUGUGUGUUGGAUAUUCCAAAAGUUGUGCAUUUUUGGAGGAUCCGAGCAACAUAGCUUGUAAGUAAAAAUGCUAAGAGCUGAAUAUUCUAUACCUGCACAUCACCAGUAUUAAUUGUGCCCUUGUGACCAGCAAAAUCUUGAUGAGUAAAAGCUCCCUAAGGAAAUGAAAACACAACAUUAGCAUUAUCACGUCUUCUGUGCCCUUUUCACUUUUGAAACCAUGAGUUAAGAAUUUGAUGUGCGUUUAUUUAUGUUUUGUGUCAAAAAUAUUGGCUCAAGUGAACACUACAUCCGCCUCUGUACGGAUUCAACAAGGCAUGCCAUUUGGCGCUUUGCUGCUUAUUCUAUGCUGGAUGGUUCGGAUACCAAGACAACGGAGCCAUCAUUAUGGGAUGGUUAAGAGCAUCCAACGGGUGUUUGGUCAUGGCACACGGCCACACACACACACACGGCCUCAGGGGACAAGAAAAGGCCUUUCAUAUUCCACCUUCGUCGGCCCUUUCCCUUACUAUUAUAUUGUAUUGAAUUAUGCAACAUAAUUUUUUUUUUACCUGUAGCAUGUAAGUUACUGUCUCAAAACCUCUGUGUGGAUGAUCAGGAAAACCAGCAGGAGCAGAAACUGAAACAAUAAAACAGUACUAUAUCAACUUCACUUGGCUCAAAAAAAAAAACUAAGUAAAAAUCAACAACAUAUUCCAGUUAGACGUUCAAAACUUAAGUUGCUCGGACUCUUCAAAAAUACCGUCAUGUGAGUCUCGGAUCCUCCAAAAGCUAUGCAAUUUUGGAGAAUCCGACACACUUGCAACAACAUUUUUGGAGGGUCCAAGCAACAUUACUCAAAACAGUACCUGAAAAUUCAUCCAACAUGAGGAAAGGAUCAAGAUUCCUCAAUUCAUGCCUGCAAGAUCAAAUUUUUAAAACAAUUCAAUUAGCAACAAGAUUAAAGAAAAAAUCAUAAAGACAGAUACUUUUUUUUCUCUAUGAUAAUUGUGGUAUCUUGGCAGCUUUCCUGCACCUCAACUAAUUACACGGGAUACCUAUCAACUCCCACCAAUAACAGGUACUAGGUAACUCUAUUCAUCCGGACUUGACAAAUAGAAAGGAAUCACAUUAAGACAGAGACUUUCCAAUAAGGAAAUCAAGAAAACACAUCAAGGUCAAAGUUUCAAAACACAAUUUCCUAUUAAAGUUACUUCUUUUAUUGUCCAAAUUGAAAAAUGAAAAAUACCCAAAUGACAAAAAGUCAUAAAAUUUAGAAACAAAACUUAAAAUCAACAAAAAAAAAUGUGAAAAAUAUAAAAAUCCUAAAUUUUAAUACCUUCCAAUGCUUCUUCUAACAACAGCUCCAUUCCCUUCACUUUGAGGUUUAGCUAAAACUUUCUUAAUCACCAAUCUUGGUCUAUCAAAACAAGAAUCAUAUUGAUUUGAUCCAGACAUAGUAAUAUUUCUAAUAGAAAAAAAAAUAGGCUUUCUUGAAAAAAAUUUAUUUCUAACAAAUGGGAAAAAAUUCACUAAAAAUAGUUCAGAAAUAGCUCUCAUAUAACAAUUCUUGAUUAUUAGUUUUGUGUGUAUCUUGUAAACUAUGUUUCCCUAUUUAUAUGAAAAUUUUUAGAAUAUUGAAAAUGGGGUUCAAAUUGAGGGAACUCUGUAAGUUGAAUAUUGAAAAAGACAGCUAAUUUUUUUAUUGUUAUUUUAAUUUAUUAUUUGGAUUUUAGUAUAUGGAUAUUAAUAUAUGAUGAUUCUAGGCUUGUGUCAUCAUGAUGAAUGCUUUUUUCCUUUGUGUGAAAAGCCCUUUUGAAAGUCAAAUGUAUUUGGGAGAAAAUUACUAAUUUAGGGAAAAAUGUCUUUAAAAGAAAAUUUUAGUAAGAAAUCAUUUUAAAGAAAAAAAAUUACUAUACAUUAUUUAACAUUUCUUCCAAAUAUGAGGUUGGCUUCAAAUUUUGAAGAAGGAUUUGUACGAAAAAAACUAAUUAAUUUUCAAUUAAACAUCAAGAAAGAAAAGUUUUUAAAAAAAUUCUAAAUAAAAAUGUAUGAACUUCAGCCAUAUGAAAAUUCAGACAUCAUAUAUGUAAAGUUAUCGUGAAAUGAUAAUUGAUAAACAUGAAAAAGGAUUUAUAAACUCAAAAUAUAAUUUUAAUAGGGAUGUUUAAAAUCGAGUAUAUGUACAUUUCCCCCUCCAAGCGAAGUAUACAUGCAUGUCUUUUGAGCUUAUCAAAGAAAGUCCAAAGUGGCGCUUACCAAAAUAUAUGUCUAGAUACAUUCUUGUGAAUUUCUACCAUUGUUAUAAUUAGGGGUGUACAUAGGUCGAUUUGGUUUGGUUUUCUGUUAAAAAAAAUCUAAACCAAUUAUGUCGGCUUAUUAAAUCUAAAAGUCAAAUCAAAACACAUGAAGUUGGUUUUUUCGAUUUCGGCUUUAGUCGGUUCUUUCGGAUUUUUUCAUUUUUUACGACUAUACGGUGCUUGAAAAAGAGAUCAAAGAUAUUUUCACUUACCCGUGUUAUAAGCUAAACCUAAAAAAUGUUAAAUGAAUAGAAAUUUCAAAAAGACGGUAAAAUUCACAUGAGUACAAAUUAUUAUUUUUGAAAUAUCAACGUUCAUUAUGUUAAAUUAAUAAGAUUAAAGGCUAUAGUCAAACUAAAUACAAAACAAAAUAUUUACAAAGUAAAUUGUUAACUUCGAAUUUGAAAAACUAUAACAAUAUAAUUGUAACUUCAGAUAUUAAUACAAAAUAAAUAUUUACAAAUUUUACAUGCCCAAAUUUGAAAUAAAAUAUAUAAACAUUGAAAACUAUAAACUANNUAUAUAUAUAUAUUUUGUCGAUUUGAUUUGGGUUUGAUUUGAUUUUUUUUCUUUUAAUAUCAAACCAAACCAAGAGUGGUCGGUUUUUUUUUCAACUGCCAAACCAACCAAACCAAAUCACACAUCAGUUUUUUUUUCGGUUUGAUUUGGUUCGUCGAUUCGGUUUGACUUUACGAUUUGAUUUGUACACCCCUAGUUAUAACUAUUAUUUAACUAAUAUAACUCUCACCUAUAUAUUAAUAUAAAAAUACUUAACAAAAAAAAUUAUCCUAGUUUACUGUUAUUUGAUUCUCAAUGUUCAAGUGCUUCAAAAGUUUAAAGUGCAUUAUCCAUUCAUCAUACCUUUUUGUGGGUAAAGUUUCUAGAAGCAAAUCCUUAGUUUUGCACUUUUCAUUUAUUAUACUCUAUAGUGCAUAGUGCAUUUGUAAGUUGAAUAAACUUUAUGUGCAUGGAUAUAGUGCAACACUUUGUGGAUUACAUAUAUUUGGGAUAGUGCUUUUUCUCCUUUCUAUUCUUUGUUGAUUGUAUAUUGGCAUUGUACCAAGCUUUAUUAGCUUAUUUGGCAAGACUAUAUGCAAUUUAUAAAAAGCUAUUCAAAGGCUUUAGUUUAUCAAUUUUGAAUUAUAAUUUUCCUAAAUAAUAUAAAGAAUUUGUGUCGAAUUAAUUUAUCGUAAUUCUAAUAGUAGCUUCACCCCUACUUUUGUAAAACAUCAUUUAAGUUAACAAUGUUAAUUUACCAUGAUUAAGUGAUGACCCGAAGUAAGAAGAGUUAGGUAAUGUUGAUUGGCUUAUCGUAAUUUGACCUUUUCGAUACAAGUACGAACUACGAGAAAAUGACAUUUAUCUUUUACCUUUUCAGUAUAAGUGCGGACCAUAAUCUUUAUUGCUUGUUUUGAAUAUAUUAAAUAAUUUUUUUAACACAAAUAUAAGGUUUGAGCCAAAAUAAUGAAUUAUAUCGACCUAUAAAUAAAACAAGAUUAGAUAAACUAAAGCUACAAUUGUUAGGUUUUUGGCAUGGAACAUAAGUUAACUACGGUCGAGUGCUAAUUUUAUAUAUAUAUAUAUAUAGUAAACAUGUAUCAUGUAUUUAUUAUUUAAUAUACACUUUCAUAUGUCUAAGUUAUCAAAUAUUGUCGUAAGAUAGCAACAACUUGAUUAAAAGUUUACCAACUAAUAUUUUAAAUAUCAUAUUCCACCGGUGCAUGUCUACAGUAAAUUAUGUAUAAGAAAAUUGAAUUGCAAUUAUGAAAUAAAUAUUAAUUUUUUUUUUAUUAAAAUAGAAAAAUAUAGAUAAGAAAAAUCAGGAAGCUAUGUAGUCUGCCAAACUACAAAAUCAGUUAUUGAGACAUGACUCUGUAAUGACAACAACAAUGACAGUAUCAUAUGACAUUAUGCUUACAAGUUAGUACAAUACAAUAUGCACACUCACUUUUAUUAUAUGAUAAAAAAUAAAAUAAUAAAAUAAAAAUUGCCCUACAAAGUGUUCAUUAGUUAUAUUAUGUUAAUUGAGAUUUAAAGGGGAAAAAAUGAUUAAUGAGAUAUAUUAUAUCCAUAAUCGAGGGACCAAAUAUAUGAACUAACCCUUUUUAAAAAUAAGUUAUUUAUGUUCUAAAACAAAUAAACACUUCAAAUCUAAUAAAAUCCUAACCAAACAAGCUAUAAUAUCCUUAAAAAGUUACAUACUAAAUAUUUCUAAGAAAUUAAUUUUUUUAUUUUUUUCAUUUGCCAUUAUCACGCAAAGCUUUAUUUAGUCGUAUUAUAUUCUAUAAUUUAAUUAUGGGAAGAAGACAUCUAGAAGAUUCAGGUAUAAGAUAUUUCCAUAUAAUACAUAAUUUUAAAAUAAUUUGUGUAUUACAACUCAAAUUUUAGUGACCCUUCUUAUUUAAUAAUACUGUUUCAAUUUGAAUAGAUAGUGAAAUAUAAUCUACUCCAUACUGUUCAACUAUUUUCAUCACAAUAUUAUUAUUAUUUUCAGAAUAAUCAAUUUCUCAGCAGUCGACAUUGUCUCAUUCAAUGAAUUUUUUUCAUAUUCAUUUACUUUAUUUCAUAUUAUAUUGUGUAUUAUUACAUAUGCAUAUUAUCAUACUAGGAUUAUUUGAAUUUUUAUUUAUUACUAUACUAUAAGAGAACUUAAUAUGAUAAUAAAAAAACUUUAUACAUUGAUUAUUAAUUAAACUCUUUAAAAAUAGUUUAUCAACAAAGGUGAGCCGGCCACAAUUCAUUGACCAUGAAAAUUAAGGAAUUAUUUAUUUUCAGUAUAAUUAUUUAAGUCCAACAAAAACUUAAAUUUCCACGAGAGAACAUUGUAAAUAUUUAACAAAAAAGAAGACAUAAAAUUGUUAGGCAAAAUAUUGUUGUAGGUAAGUUUUAAAGGUAAAAAUCAAUGUGAUCGAACUCUUUAGCAAUGUCGAUAAAUAUGUGUCAAGUGGUACUGUUAAGGAACUGACACAAAUAUAUUCAUAAUAUUUUUAAAGAGUCUGAAACAAAGCACAACAUAUAGGAAAAAUAGAUACUUAUAAUAUUUUUAGAGAUUUGUUAUAAUAGUUAGUUAUCUUAAGUUCUUAACAACCAUAAUUUGAACGUGUAUUAAACUUAAUAAAUUGAGUGCUUAAAUAAAUAAAUGAUAUAAUGGAAAGCUGAAAAAUUAAAUUAAUUUCAGAUUUCAUUCUGGAACAAGCCUUUUGACUUUGUAUUAUCUAGUCAAAAAUUUGAAUAUUUCUUCAAUAUUUUCCGCUAAUAAUUUUAUUUGAGUUGUACAAGGAAUGUUUAAAAAGUCUUUAUUCUUUUUGUAAUUCUACUAAUAAUAAUGACAAUUCACAUCUUUUCUUUUCACGGUCACUAAUUGUAAGUUAACAUGUAACAAACACUUCAUUCUAAUUAAACAAUAUCAAGACAAGUUAAUUAACAAUAAGAUUUUUCCAUUAAAAUGUAAAAAACAUCUAGUUAGAUAAUAUUUUCUUUUAUAUAAUUUUAUGUAGCACGAAUUUAAAUUAAUCAAAGCUUCAAUAUGAAUAUCAAAAAACAAAGUCAACUAAACAAAUUUUAAGACAUAAAUUAUCAUGAGUUGACUUCCUUGUGUCCUCACUUUGUUGGUACCAUGGGAGGAUUCCACAUAAUGUUUAGUGCAUUUUUAAAAUUAUAUCUUCCAUUUUAAAAGUAUAUUCCAUUUGGAUCUUAGUGGUUUGAGUAUGGUAUCCCACUAGGAGUAUAAUAAAUACGUUUUUUUUAGAAUAUCUAGGAUUAAGUGUAUUGCUAAAUUUUAUUUUAUUUUUAACUAUUCAAUAAUUUUAUUGGUUUAUAUUCAUAUUGUAAAUGUCUAAUUAAAGAACAUAUUUAUUUUUCAGAAUGUGAAUCAAAACUAGUGAUUACAAAUAUAAUAGAGCUAAAGAGAGUCAAAUGAGUUCAAUUGAAUCCUUUUCAAAGGAAAAUUGUAUUGCGAAAUUAUGGAAAAAAUAAUUUAAUUUACUCAUACAUUUUCUUGAAUUCUUGAUAAAAAAGAAACAAAUUUUAGUUUAAUGAUAAAUAAGAUUAAAAAUUUGUAUAUCACAUUUGAAACCCUAUGUAUAAUAUGUGAGAUUUUGGUAUCUUUUUGAAUUUUUCUUUUAUAAAUUUAGCACUCUUCCACAAUUAAGGACAUAUAUUAGAUAUUUUCAAAAAAAAAUGUGCGCUUUUUGACUUAAAAAAUAUGUGUUUUUUUGUGGAAAUUCAAAUAAUAUGUAAAACACAUGAAAGAAAUGUGAUAUGCAUGUCUCAUAAGUUUAUUAAGGUAAAAGAUUGUCUAACAUAUCAUUAGUUCAAAUUUAGCGCAAAGAAAAUGCUUUUGCCACUUGAACAGUAGACGGGAGACAUGCACAUGUGGUUCUUUGAGGUUAGGGGAGAGUCUUUGAGUUAGAUUACUAACUAUAAACAAGUCAUUCUUAUUAUCACUUUCUAAUGUGAUAUCUGAUAAAAAAAAUGCAGUUUUGAACUGAAAGGUGGAAGUGGUUCCUCCUCAACUUCUGACUCUAAUCUUGAGAAUUCACUACAACUUUACAUUCGGCAAGAAAGAUCGAUAAGCAUUAGCAUAAAUUGAAUUUUGGAUUGACUCUUAUUUAUUCUUUGAAAAAAUUCAUAGAGAAUCAAAAUUCACUUAGGUGAAUCCUACUAGUCAAAUGCCUCUUUUUCCUCCACAAGAGUUCGCUCCCAAAAAAAAAGACUUGAAAAAAACUAAAUAGAAAAUUUGAACCUCUACUCUAUUUUAGAAACGAAAAUCACAUUUACUAAAAUCAUAUUUUGAAAAACACCUAAAAAUCAAACUUAUGUGUAAUUACAUAAUUAAUAUGUAUAUAUUUAGCUAAGUAAUUACUGGAUCAAUAUGAUAUGUUGAAUACAAUUGAGAGGGUGCAAUAUAAUUACACUAUCUUAAUUUGAAUGGAAAGGUGAAAAUUACAUUGUGUAAUCAAAUACUUUAGUAACUAUUUAUAUUGCACCUUUAUUUUCUGUUUGUCAAAUAUAUAUUAGUCUUUUAAUAUUAUUUUUGUUUUCCUGUCUCUUAUUUUCAUCUUCUAGUCUUUUAUUUUUCGUAAUUAUUACACACAAUUACAUUUUUAUUAACUUUAUUUUUAACUCAUCAGUAUAAAAGUUUAUAAUGAAAUAAAUUCAUAUUUAUCUUUUUUUUAAAAAAAAAAAAAGCGACAAAUCAUAAAUUUCACACUAUAUUAAUAUGAGUUGGAAUUUUUACCAAUUCAUAAUUAAAUUUUUUAAUUAAUUAAUUUAAUUUAAGAUUUAUUAAUCAUUAAAAGUUUGUUUACUUCUUCAUCGGAAAGAAAAUUCCUUUCUUCCUUCAUUCCCCUGAAAGAAAGAAAGAAAAAAUUCAAUGCAGAAAUAGGCGAAGAAAAUAUAGCGCAAGAAUUGGGGAAAAUAUUGAGGAAGAAAAAGGGGGGAAUCAACAUUGAAUAAAUAAUUAUGGCAUUUUCAUGGCGUUUUAUUGGACUAUCUAUUUUUGUUUUUCUUCUAAAUGUAUCAUCAAUAGCACAUUCUGCUCCUAUCAAGGCACAUAGCUCUUGCAGCAAUGAAAUCAAUAUGGUAAAUGUAUUCAACCCUUUUCUUAUAUAGAGAAAAUAAAUUGUGGGGUUUGUUUUUUGGGUGGAAAUUGUGUUAAAAAUGUAAUCUUUUAUGGAUUUUGUAGAUUUUCUUAUUUGAUAUUGUCAUUUCUUGAUUAUGUGGAAAGUUAUGAUGGGGUUAUGGAUUUUUUUGUUUUGAGGGGUUUCAAUAGUUAAGAAUCUUUGUUUGGUAUGGACAUGUUAGUGGGAGGUGGUACGUAUCUGGUGAAAUUAGUUGAGCUGGCCUAGACACUACGAUUAUCAUUAAAAACCAAUCUUUUUUGGUAAUGUUAAUAAGAUGAUUUGAAAUGGUGAGGAUUGGUUCAUGCAUUUGGUGGAAUUUGUUAUGAAAUGGAGUUAUUUGAUAUAUUAUGUUUUGAUUCUGUGCCGGGGUGGCAGAGUUACUCGGUGGAAUAGUUGAGGUGUGGGCAAGUUAGCUCGGACACCACUCCAUAAAAAAGUUUAAUUUGAGGUUCUGGUGUGUGGUGUGUGUGUGUGUGUGUUAUAAGAUUACUAUACAAGGAUUUAUUUAGCAUUUAUUAUACUCCCUCCGUUCACUUUUACUUGUCGAUUUUGGACUUUGCAUGCCCCUUAAGAAACAAUGAUUGAAAUGAGUAUUUUAACACAAUAUCCAUGUUAGUUGAUGUUUAGUCUUAACUGGACUUGAAGUAUUCUCUAUUUUCAUUCUGUUCUGCACAUAUAGAAACUUACCGGUGCUAAUCAUUCUUUUCCUUUCUUUUGUUAAAGAUGCUGGUGAAGUUGUGGGUUAAUGGUGGUGAGGAAGAUUCAAUAGUUGGCUUGAGUGCGGCAUUUGGGUCUGUAUUACCCACUGAUACUAAACGUGCCUCCAGGUUGCGUGCUGUUUAUACACAACCUUUGAAUGGCUGUUCUGCUUCCUCCACUAAGGUAUUUACUCCACAUUCCUUACACACCUUUACUUUUAGGUGGAUAUCCGAAACGAAACUGUGUUGCUGCUUGAUUAAAUAAUAGUGAUAAUUCUUUCGCGGCCCAAUUUCGGUUCUUUUGAUCUUUCUUGAUGAUCUUCCAUCUCUCAUUUGUUAACUUGCGAAUAUUUGAGAACAAUAGAAUUCAUACUUCUUUAUGAGCCAAGUCCUGCUUUAAGAGUGAAGAAUUGAUGCAAAUCUCAGCAAGGUUGAAAAGAUUUAAGGAGCUGAAUUGUGAACCAAUCUCAUUUAUAUCAAGGAGAAGUGAAGAAACAAUUUUUUUUUUUAAUAUAGUUUAGGUGAAAACAUCUACAUGUUAAGCCAUUGACCAUCUCUGUCUUCUAUCAGGAAGUUAAAGUAAUUCAAACUUCUUAACUCUGCAUAGAACAACUUAUUUUCAGCAUAUAAGAAAACUUAAGAGUAAGUUUCACUCGUGAAAAUGGAAAGAUACUUUUUUCUGGUGGAUCGCAGUGGAGGAUUGAAAUAGGAGAAAAGAGUAGAAAUGGAGAUGGGUUGAGGAUGAUCACUACAAAAAAACACUUGAAUUGCAGGGGUUAAAAUUACAUAUUGCGGGGGUCAGUAACCCCCGCAACUAAGUAAUACGGCAGUUGAAAAAACUCCUACAAUUAGAUGUGCCACAAUUAAGUCACGGGGUUUUUCUCCAACCCCUCGUACCAUUAGCAGGAGUUUACUACUGGGGGUUUUGAACCCCUACAUUUUAAAUUCUAGGAUUCAAAACCCCAACAAUUUGUGAAUUCUAGGAGUCAAAACCCCCCACAAUUCAUGAACUUUACAUUAAAAUCAACAAGAGUUUUGACUCCUGCAAUUUAUGAAAUGUAUCUUUUUAUAGAAUUUUGCUAAAAAUAUUCAAUUUUAAAUAUUAAUAAUUAAUUAACUAACAUGUACAUCAUAGUAAAACCUAAAAGGGCAUAUUAAUAUAAGAAAUAACACAAUAUUUCAAUACAAAAAUAUAUCAAAGUGUACUAUAGUUUUACAAACUAAAUUGAAAUGUCAUUCACUUCAACCAUUACGAUUACAAGAAACUUCAAAUCUUGCUUGAACUUCAAAUCACUACAAAAACUUGCUUAAACUUCAAAUCACUAGCAUCCAAACUCAAGAUAGGAUCUGCAACAGUUCAUGAAACUCAGCGGAUUUCACUACGAUAUCACCUGGCUGCAAAGAGAAAUACACAAUAAGCGACUUCAUCCAAACUCAAAACAUGGAUGAAUAUAGCAUACUUGAUGAAUUUAGUACUACCAGCCAGUUAAGUUAUAUGGUGGAAUAAGACAUGUUAGUUGACAAGAAUAUAUUACAACAAUAACAACAUAAUACACAGUGAAAUUUCACAAGCGGGUUUGGGAAAGGUAGAAUAUACGCACAAGUAAUGACUUAUCCCCAGUUACGCUUGUCAGGGAGCAAAAGGAAAACAAUUACUAUUGUUUAUGUCCAGCCAAAUAAUACAACUUACAGAGUUAAGAGCCUGCUCAAGAAAUACAUCAGUAGCUACCUUUUUGUGUAACUCAAACCAAUUGGGUCUGCGAUGGCCACAAGCCACUACUCCCCUGUACUAAUUUUACUUUUUAAUGAAAUGCUUCAUAUUUCCUUACCAAAAAAAAAGUAACAACAAAUGGGUCCUAGUUAGAUAAAGUCUAAAGAUUAAUUCAUUGGGAAAAGAAAUUAAUUAGUAAUAUCUAUAUGGCUAGAUCUCACAUUAGUUGUACACUGAAAUGUACCUCUAAUCCUUAAUUCUUUGAAGUAUCAAAGUUCCAGAGAAAAAGAUUUUACUUACCAAUGCCAACCACCUUGCUAUGCCUAUAUAACAUAAUUAUAGGUGCAGUAAGUUCUCAAGACAAUGUAAAAUAUUCAUUAAACAACACCAACAACUAUAUAAAAGCUAUAACUUGAAAUGUAAAAGUCCAACUAGUGAAUUAGAAAAUACCAGUUACUAUUCAGAUGAUCAAUUAUAAUUUUUUGAAAAGGCACAAUUACUAAAAAUAAUGUGACCUCUCAAAACUGAACAUGAGUCUAAUGAUGCUUAGGAUUGGGUCUGUUGGGAGAAAUUGAAUUUUGCUUGCAAAAAGAGUCCACUGGCCAUCCAAGAUGUAAUCUUGGCAAUAAUCUUGUCCACUAAGGGUUUAAUUGGACUAUUGUAAGCCUUUUAGGUGUCGUUUAAUACAAAGAUUAAUAAUGUAGGGAUUAGUAAUGCAAGGUUCCUUAGUAAAAUUGUUUGGCACACCUAGAUAUUUGAAACAGAGUUCUCCAACCUCAUAUCCAAGCAUAGUCAAGAUGGUUUCCUUAGUAAAUUUGUUAAUACCUUCAAAACAUACCUGACUUUUCAAAAUGAUGGUCUUCAAAUCAGAAGCAUCAGAAAACAUAUUGAAUUUACCCCUCGAUAGUUGUAGUUGUAUAGAUCUGACAUCUCAUCUAGUAAAUAUAGUAAGUCAACAGCAACAAAGUACUGAUUCAAAACUGAUGUCAACAUCUAGAUGGAAAAAAAUGUUUCAUCAAACUUUCUUAGUUGUAAAUCAGCACAACUACAAAGAAAAAAGACAUUCUUGCAACUCUUCCAAAUCUGUUUGGGUUAAAGGAAUUUUGCAUUUAACUAUCAUUCCAUCUUCACUAACUAUCUAAAGGACAAAAUCAAAUAAAAAAAUACAAUAAACUCACAAGAUUUGUAGAGCGUCGCAGAACUUGAGCGAGUUGUGCAUGACUGCUUAUAAGAGCUUUUAUCUUCUUCAACAAUGCAGCCACAAAUAUUGACACUAUAGCACGAAAAAAUAGUGCAAACUGUCUUAAAGAAAGAUCUCAUCAGAAAAAUGAGAACCAAAUUUAAAAAGAAUAGCUGAAAAGUAGAUGAAACUUACGGAAAUAGCUGGGAAUAUAGACGAAAUCAGGUUCAGUAAUGUGGGAGGAGAUAGUGGUGGGAGUGACGUCUUUGGGAUCGGUGGCAAAAGGGAUGGUUGGGUUUGGGGACAAUUCCAGUUGUUGGGGAUGAUCGUAACAUGUAUACUCAAUAUACUCGAUAUGGUUAGUCAAUCGAUAAAGUGAAACAACCUUAUGGUGCUACUUCUAAUCCUACACAGGCUGAUGACGCGACAAGAAAGAACAGUUCAUCAUCAAACAAGUUGAAAACACCACAUUUCUCCAAUAUCACCACCUUAUAACAUAGAAACAAAUAUCAUAUCUCUCAAAUUUACCAGAUUCACUUACAACUAACAAAAAUCAAUUAAGAAGUUAAUCUAUCCAACCAAAAAAUCAAUUACUAGCAAGUUAUUCUCUAUGUAAACCUUAUUUAAUUAGAUUAUCCAUAUUGAAACCCUAAAGAAUCGAAGUUUAGGGGAAAUCCAAAAAGUACAAUAGUUAUAAACCUUAGAAAGAGCUGAAGCUUCUCCAUGGUGCAGGACGUAGGGCAACGAGCCUAUUGGAGCAUUCUUUUACUCCAAAAUCGGCGAAGAUAUUGCAGAUUUUCUGAAACUAAAAUAGAUUCAAAAUACAAAUCUCAAAACUUUUUACAAACAAUUUGAAGUUGAGAAAAAAAAAAUCAGUUGAUUUAUAGAUUGAAAAUGCAUGAAAAUGAGGAAAAGAGAACUCAUUUUUGAAGCUUUCGAUGUCUAAAUUAAGGAGCAAUUGUUAAAUAGAGAGAAAUUGGGAAGUAAGAGAGGAGAAGAGAAGUAUGAACCAACGAUACCGCCAAUCGCCACCGCCGCCUCCAUCUUUUCCUACUCCGACCACUGUUAUUGUGGAUGAAGACAGUGAUAGCUCCGCCACCAUGGAUUCGCCACCGUGCCGCCUCCAUCACUUCCUACUCCAACCCUAAUUAUCAUAUGAAAAUUGAUCAGUUCGGGAUCGCAGAAAAUAGAAUGAAACUUUUUUUUAUUUGGGGAUUAAAUGAGCAACGAUAUAAAAUUUUAUUUUUUAGGAUAGCGGCGGGUAAUAACCCCACAAAUUCUACUAAAAUUAUAGGGGUUAAUCAAACCUCCGUAAUUUGAUGUAAUUUGUGGGGGUUGAGUUAACCUCCAUUAUAAAACCUCUAGGAUUUAAGUGUUUUUUUGUAGUGGAU
rnacentral:lncRNA from 1 species